GAUGAACGCUGGCGGCGUGCCUAAUACAUGCAAGUCGAGCGAACAGACGAGGGGCUUGCUCCUCUGACGUUAGCGGCGGACGGGUGAGUAACACGUGGAUAACCUACCUAUAAGACUGGGAUAACUUCGGGAAACCGGAGCUAAUACCGGAUAAUAUAUUGAACCGCAUGGUUCAAUAGUGAAAGACGGUUUUGCUGUCACUUAUAGAUGGAUCCGCGCCGCAUUAGCUAGUUGGUAAGGUAACGGCUUACCAAGGCAACGAUGCGUAGCCGACCUGAGAGGGUGAUCGGCCACACUGGAACUGAGACACGGUCCAGACUCCUACGGGAGGCAGCAGUAGGGAAUCUUCCGCAAUGGGCGAAAGCCUGACGGAGCAACGCCGCGUGAGUGAUGAAGGUCUUUGGAUCGUAAAACUCUGUUAUUAGGGAAGAACAAAUGUGUAAGUAACUAUGCACGUCUUGACGGUACCUAAUCAGAAAGCCACGGCUAACUACGUG
rnacentral:rRNA from 1 species